CAUAGCUCAGCUGGAUAGAGCAUUGGAUUGCGGUUCCAAAGGCCGUAGGUUCGAAUCCUACUGG
rnacentral:tRNA from 1 species